UUCAGGCCUAACACAUGCAAGUCGAACGAUGAUGCCCUUCGGGGUGGAUUAGUGGCGAACGGGUGAGUAACACGUGAGCAACCUGCCCUUGACUCUGGGAUAACUACCGGAAACGGUGGCUAAUACUGGAUAUUCACGCUAUCUCGCAUGGGGUGGUGUGAAAAGUUUUUCGGUCAGGGAUGGGCUCGCGGCCUAUCAGCUUGUUGGUGGGGUGAUGGCCUACCAAGGCGACGACGGGUAGCCGGCCUGAGAGGGCGACCGGCCACACUGGGACUGAGACACGGCCCAGACUCCUACGGGAGGCAGCAGUGGGGAAUAUUGCGCAAUGGGCGAAAGCCUGACGCAGCGACGCCGCGUGAGGGAUGAAGGCCUUCGGGUUGCAAACCUCUUUCAGCGCCGAAGAAGCGAAAGUGACGGUAGGCGCAGAAGAAGCACCGGCUAACUACGUGCCAGCAGCCGCGGUAAUACGUAGGGUGCAAGCGUUGUCCGGAAUUAUUGGGCGUAAAGAGCUCGUAGGCGGUUUGUCGCGUCUGCUGUGAAAAUUCGGGGCUUAACCCCGGACUUGCAGUGGGUACGGGCAGACUAGAGUGCGGUAGGGGAGACUGGAAUUCCUGGUGUAGCGGUGAAAUGCGCAGAUAUCAGGAGGAACACCGGUGGCGA
rnacentral:rRNA from 1 species